CCUACGGGUGGUAGCAGUGGGGAAUAUUGGACAAUGGGCGAAAGCCUGAUCCAGCCAUGCCGCGUGUGUGAAGAAGGCCUUCGGGUUGUAAAGCACUUUCAGUGGGGAAGAAAGCCUUGGGGCUAAUACCCUCGAGGAAGGACAUCACCCACAGAAGAAGCACCGGCUAACUCCGUGCCAGCAGCCGCGGUAAUACGGAGGGUGCGAGCGUUAAUCGGAAUUACUGGGCGUAAAGCGCGCGUAGGCGGUCUGAUAAGCCGGUUGUGAAAGCCCCGGGCUCAACCUGGGAACGGCAUCCGGAACUGUCAGGCUAGAGUGCAGGAGAGGAAGGUAGAAUUCCCGGUGUAGCGGUGAAAUGCGUAGAGAUCGGGAGGAAUACCAGUGGCGAAGGCGGCCUUCUGGACUGACACUGACGCUGAGGUGCGAAAGCGUGGGUAGCAAACAGGAUUAGAUACCCUGGUAGUC
rnacentral:rRNA from 1 species